GGCGGGGCUGCUCUGCGCCCGCUGGAGACCUGGCGCUGUGCUCCGGUCAACCCUGGUCGCCGUCAGCCUGCUUGUGUGCCGCGAAAGCCAGCCUGCUUUCGGAUCGUCUGCCCUGUCACAGACUUUCCGCGCAAUGCCAAGUUUUGUGUGAAUAUUUGGAUUUGGUAACUCACUAUGCUUGGCCCAGCAGCGUCGCUCCCGGAAGGCCCAGCUUCUGCUGGCGACGAGUAGCCCAAGGGCAGGAGCAGCGAUUAAUGAGGUUAAUUCUGGGUCGACAGCCAAACUCCAGUGUAAGCGAAAGUGAGAAAAUAAAAUGCCUAACAGUCCUUCCCCUCAGAGGUUACUGCUGACCACUGUUAACGCCUUAUUGUAUAUAACUUUCCAGAUCAUAGGAAACACCCACCACUGAAGUAUUUAGAGAUAUGAUUCCUCCAUCUCUGAAAAGCUGACCAGGAGUGGUCAAUUAUUCCACAGUGCCCCCGUGUUUGCCUGCACUUGUACUAGAUGAGUGGUUUCCAGACCCAGCAGAGCAUCAGAAGAAUUUGAGAAGCUUGCUCAAAUGCACAUGCCUAGGCCUCAUCCCUGAAAAUUACACCUUUAUAAGUUCUUGGUGGGGACCCAGACACCUGCAUGUUUAACUACCUCCUACAGCAUUUCUGAUAAUCAGCAAGAUUUGGCAACCACUAAGGUGUUUCUAAGGGUACCUGAAACCUAACCCCAAGAGGCUUGUGGCACUGUCACUUGAUACACUUGGAUUUGCAGAACACAGUCUUUCAUGGAUUUGUUUUUAACCAACUGUAUUAAAUCAUCUCCCUUUCUCCUAAUGUAAAAACAGGCAGUUAGUACCUGGAAACAAAUGUCGUUGGAGAUCUACUUUAUGUUCCAGACCUUUCUUAGAAUACACCGGUCUGCAAAGUGGAGGCCUGUGGG